UAUGGGGUAAUAUGGAGCGCUAUGGGGUAAUAUGGAGCGCUAUGGGGCCACAUGGAGUGCUGUGGGGCAACGUGGAGCUCUAUGGGGUUAUAUGGAGCGCUAUGGGGGCACAUGGGAUGCUGUGGGGCAACAAUGAGUGCCAUGGGGUGAUAUGGAGUGCUAUGGGGUCACAUGGAGUCCUAUGGGGCAAUAUGGAGCGCUAUGGGGUUAUAUGGACCGCUAUGGAGCCAUAUGGAGCGCUAUGGGGUAAUAUGGAGUGCUAUGGGGGCCACAUGGAGUGCUAAGGGGUAAUAUGGAGUGCUAUGGAGUAAUAUGGAGCGCUAUGGGGUAAUAUGGAGCGCUAUGGGGUAAUAUGGAGCGCUAUGGGGUAAUAUGGAGCGCUAUGGGGUAAUAUGGAGCGCUAUGGGG
ensembl:lncRNA